rnacentral:rRNA from 1 species
UACGUAGGGUGCGAGCGUUGUCCGGAAUUAUUGGGCGUAAAGAGCUCGUAGGCGGUUUGUCGCGUCGGCUGUGAAAACUCGGGGCUCAACCCCGAGCCUGCAGUCGAUACGGGCAAACUCGAGUGCGGUAGGGGAGACUGGAAUUCCUGGUGUAGCGGUGAAAUGCGCAGAUAUCAGGAGGAACACCGGCGGCGAAGGCGGGUCUCUGGGCCGUAACUGACGCUGAGGAGCGAAAGCGUGGGGAGCGAACAGG